rnacentral:misc_RNA from 1 species
GACAGAUAAAACCUUCCAUCCAUACUCCAUGUGCUUCAACAUUAAUGUUCUUGUAGUUUCUUCUUUCGUCUAAAAACAGCUUUCCACACCUCCUCAAAACCACACUCAUACUCUUCUUCUUCUUCGCCGGAAAACCAUGUCGGUUUCGACAACGGCUGAGAUAGAUGAUUUUCAUCCACAUGAAGGAACAAAUAGCACCGCCUCAUAUCAUCAUCAUCGGUAUGAAUACACCAAUUCAAGCGAGAUCGAGGAAGAGAAUUCGAGCGAGCUGUUCGAGAUCAACCAUGGGGGUGAGCCCAUGGAAUCCAUCAAAGAAGAGGUAUUUUCCUUGGAUGUUGAGAGCCGAGGAGAGGAUUGUGUUUAUGUUGCAGUAGGGAAGAGCGAGUCAAGCAUGGAUGCACUUUCUUGGACGUUGAAGAACCUUGUUAAUGGCUAUUCCACUAUGGUUUAUCUCAUCCAUGUCUUCCCUGAGAUUCAUCACAUACCUUCUCCAUUGGGUAAGCUUCCAAAGAAUCAAGUGAGUCCUGCCCAGGUGGAGACUUACAUGGCCCAAGAAAGUGGCAAGAGAAGAGAACUCCUUCAAAAGUUCAUCCAUAUGUGUGCUUCAUCUAAGGUUAAGGUAGACACCAUACUUAUUGAGAGUGAUAUGGUUGCAAAGGCUAUCAUGGACCUCAUACCCAUUUUCAAUAUCAGGAAGCUAGUGCUUGGAACCACCAAGUCCAGCCUAAGGUAAAAACCAAACUCAAUUUUUUAAAAAUUAAUUUUUAUUACUUGCAAAUUUAUUUUCCAUCAUAAAACUUUUCCAGGAAACUGAGGGCCAGAAAAGGAAGUGGAAUAGUCGAUCAAAUACUUGCGAAUGCAUCGGAAUUUUGUGAAAUCAAGAUCAUAUGUGAAGGAAAGGAAGUGGCUGAUAAUCAGAUGAUGAUCACUGGAUCACCCUCAGCAUCACCACGUCCUACUGGUGAUGCAAAUGCCAGUACACUGCAAUUGCAAGAUCAACCCAACGCUAAUAAUGAUUCAUUUUCAUGUAUGUGUUUCAAAUCCCCUCGAGUCAUGUAAUUUCUAAAUUAUUUACUGUUAUUUUAUGAUCUCUGAUUAGUAAUUGAUGAGUCAAUUAAUGGACGAUUUCUUUUGUGUAAAUUAAAAUUGAACAAUAUAAUUUCACAUUGAAAAUGUUAAAACUCUUUAUAUAUUUAAUUUUGG